rnacentral:rRNA from 1 species
CCGAUGGCGACCGGCGCACGGGUGAGUAACACGUAUCCAACCUGCCGAUAACUCGGGGAUAGCCUUUCGAAAGAAAGAUUAAUAUCCGAUAGCAUAUCAAGGUCGCAUGAUCUUGAUAUUAAGGAAUUUCGGUUAUCGAUGGGGAUGCGUUCCAUUAGUUAGUUGGCGGGGUAACGGCCCACCAAGACGACGAUGGAUAGGGGUUCUGAGAGGAAGGUCCCCCACAUUGGAACUGAGACACGGUCCAAACUCCUACGGGAGGCAGCAG